rnacentral:rRNA from 1 species
UACGUAGGUGGCAAGCGUUGUCCGGAUUUAUUGGGCGUAAAGGGUGCGUAGGUGGUUAUUUAAGUGGGAUGUGAAAUACUCGGGCUUAACCUGGGUGCUGCAUUCCAAACUGGAUAUCUAGAGUGCAGGAGAGGAAAGUAGAAUUCCUAGUGUAGCGGUGAAAUGCGUAGAGAUUAGGAAGAAUACCAGUGGCGAAGGCGACUUUCUGGACUGUAACUGACACUGAGGCUCGAAAGCGUGGGGAGCAAACAGG